UUUCCGUAGGUGAACCUUCGGAAGGAUCAUUCAUAAUAAAGUGUUUUAUGGCACUUUUUAAAAAUCCAUAUCACCUUGUGUGCAAUGUUAGAUCUCGUCAAUCUUGGCGAGAUUUUUAUACAUCAACUCAUUCUUUAACUAAUUUGUCUGAAAAAUAUUAUGAAUACUUAAUUCAAAAUACAACUCUCAACAACGGAUCUCUUGGCUCUC
rnacentral:misc_RNA from 1 species